CCUACGGGAGGCAGCAGUGGGGAAUAUUGCACAAUGGGGGAAACCCUGAUGCAGCGACGCCGCGUGAGCGAAGAAGUAUUUCGGUAUGUAAAGCUCUAUCAGCAGGGAAGAAAAUGACGGUACCUGAGUAAGAAGCUCCGGCUAAAUACGUGCCAGCAGCCGCGGUAAUACGUAUGGAGCAAGCGUUAUCCGGAUUUACUGGGUGUAAAGGGAGCGCAGGCGGCCUUGCAAGUCUGAUGUGAAAUACCGGGGCUCAACCCCGGGACUGCUCUUGGAACUGCAUGGCUGGAGUACAGGAGGGGCAGGCGGAAUUCCUAGUGUAGCGGUGAAAUGCGUAGAUAUUAGGAGGAACACCGGUGGCGAAGGCGGCCUGCUGGACUGUGACUGACGUUGAGGCCCGAAGGCGUGGGGAGCAAACAGGAUUAGAUACCCCAGUAGUC
rnacentral:rRNA from 1 species